CCUACGGUGCGCAGCAGUGGGGAAUAUUGGACAAUGGGGGGAACCCUGAUCCAGCGACGCCGCGUGAGUGAAGAAGUAUUUCGGUAUGUAAAGCUCUAUCAGCAGGGAAGAAAGAAAUGACGGUACCUGACUAAGAAGCCCCGGCUAACUACGUGCCAGCAGCCGCGGUAAUACGUAGGGGGCAAGCGUUAUCCGGAUUUACUGGGUGUAAAGGGAGCGUAGACGGCGAUGCAAGUCUGAAGUGAAAGGCGGGGGCCCAACCCCCGGACUGCUUUGGAAACUGUAUGGCUGGAGUGCAGGAGAGGUAAGUGGAAUUCCUAGUGUAGCGGUGAAAUGCGUAGAUAUUAGGAGGAACACCAGUGGCGAAGGCGGCUUACUGGACUGUAACUGACGUUGAGGCUCGAAAGCGUGGGGAGCAAACAGGAUUAGAUACCCCGGUAGUC
rnacentral:rRNA from 1 species